AGAACAAACGCUGGCGGCGUGCCUAAUACAUGCAAGUCGAACGAGUAGUAAUACUAGUGGCGCACGGGUGAGGAAUAUAUGGGUAAUCUGCCCUCGAGUCGGGGAUAACCAGUCGAAAGACUGGCUAAUACCGGAUAAGACCACAAGAUCUGCGGAUCAAGGGGUUAAAGGUUUUUCGCUUGAGGAUGAGCCCAUACGGGAUUAGCUAGUUGGUGAGGUAAUGGCUCACCAAGGCUACGAUCCCUAACUGGUCUUAGAGGAUGAUCAGUCACACUGGAACUGAGACACGGUCCAGACUCCUACGGGAGGCAGCAGUAGGGAAUAUUGCACAAUGGGGGAAACCCUGAUGCAGCGACGCCGCGUGAGUGAUGAAGGCCUUCGGGUCGUAAGCUCUGUCGUAUGGGACUAACACAAUGAAGGUACCAUGCAAGAAAGGAUCGGCUAACUUCGUGCCAGCAGCCGC
rnacentral:rRNA from 1 species